GAUGAACGCUGGCGGCGUGCCUAAUACAUGCAAGUCGAACGGGGAGUAGCAAUACUCUUAGUGGCGAACGGGUGAGUAACGCGUUGGUACCUGCCCCGAAGCGGGGGAUAACGGACCGAAAGGUCCGCUAAUACCCCAUGUGCUCGGUAACGAGUAAAGGUGAAAACCACUUUGGGAGGGGCCUGCGUCCCAUCAGCUAGUUGGUAAGGUAACGGCUUACCAAGGCGAUGACGGGUAGGGGACCUGAGAGGGUGGCCCCCCACAAUGGAACCGAAACACGGUCCAUACACCUACGGGUGGCAGCAGUAGGGAAUAUUGGUAAUGGGCGCAAGCCUGAACCAGCAACGCCGCGUGUGCGAUGACGGCCUUCGGGUUGUAAAGCACUUUUGACUGGGACGAGGAAGGACGGUACCGGUCGAAUCAGCCUCGGCUAACUACGUG
rnacentral:rRNA from 1 species